UACGGAGGAUGCAAGUGUUAUCCGGAAUGAUUGGGCGUAAAGCGUCCGCAGGUGGCUGUGUAAGUCUGCUGUUAAAUAGUGAGGCUCAACCUCAUAAAGGCAGUGGAAACUACACGGCUAGAGUGCGUUCGGGGCAGAGGGAAUUCCUGGUGUAGCGGUGAAAUGCGUAGAGAUCAGGAAGAACACCGGUGGCGAAAGCGCUCUGCUAGGCCGCAACUGACACUGAGGGACGAAAGCUAGGGGAGCGAAUGGG
rnacentral:rRNA from 1 species